GCCUGGUUGGCUCAGUCAGUAGAGCAUGUGACUCUUGAUCUCAGGGUUGUGAGUCCACGCCCCACGUUGGGCA
rnacentral:tRNA from 1 species